rnacentral:rRNA from 1 species
GAUGAACGCUAGCUACAGGCUUAACACAUGCAAGUCGUGGGGCAGCGGGUGCUUAGCUUGCUAAGUAUGCCGGCGACCCGGCGCACGGGUGAGUAACGCGUACCGAACCUGCCCAUCACACAGGGAUAGGCUUGCGAAAGCAAGAUUAAUACCUGAUGGUCUCAGUUGUAUGCAUGUAUGAUUGAGUAAAGCCUUCGGGCGGUGAUGGAUGGCGGUGCGUCCCAUUAGGAUGUUGGCGGGGUAACGGCCCACCAAUCCUUCGAUGGGUAGGGGUUCUGAGAGGAAGGUCCCCCACAUUGGAACUGAGAUACGGUCCAAACUCCUACGGGAGGCAGCAGUGAGGAAUAUUGGUCAAUGGGCGAGAGCCUGAACCAGCCAAGUAGCGUGCGGGAUGAAGGCCCUUGUGGUCGUAAACCGCUUUUAUCAGUGAAUAAAGUGCAUCACGUGUGGUGUCAUUGCAGGUAGCUGAAGAAAAAGGACCGCUAUUCC